CGUCUAGGUAGCUCAGUUGGUUAGAGCAAAGGACUGAAAAUCCUUGUGUCAGUGGUUCGAGUCCGCUUCUGGACA
rnacentral:tRNA from 1 species